rnacentral:tRNA from 1 species
AACGGCGAUGCCGUCCUCGCCGGCCUCAUAAGCCGGACAUCGCGGGUUCGAAUCCCGCCCCCGCUC